rnacentral:sRNA from 1 species
AGCCUUCCCCAGGUACGACUCCGCCAUGAGCAUCAUGACCGAGAUCGGAAACCGCCUGGGGCAGGUGCAGGCGCUGCUGGGUGUGGCCAAGUGCUGGGUGGCCAGGAAGGCGCUGGACAAGGUGCCUGCAGAACAACGGGACCCGGAGCUGUCCCAACUGCCGCCGCUCAUCCAUGAAGCCUGGCUUUGUAUGACUCCUGGCAGCAGGCGUGGGCUUCCUCCUCGCCACUCCUGCUCUUUCUCCACUGCACGCCAGAGGCCCAUUUACUCCUGGGGCAGCUGCCAGGUCGUCCUCACCACAGCCAAGGCCUUGGGGCCUGCCCACGGCUGCUCCCCUGGGCCCAGCUCCCCUCCCUGCCUCUUUGUACUUUGCUCGUUAUAGAAAAAUAAACUGUUUGUACCUGG